GGGGGAAAAAAACAAGCCGGAAAGAGGGCAGCAGAGGGGUUUGUAGCCCCGGGUUGAAGUGAUUUACAUAAAUGGAAAGAGUUCCCAGCCAGCGGGAAUGGAGAUACACGUUCAAACAUGGCUCUUCAGUACAACCUGUAUCUGCUCAGUGAAUCACAACCGUCAGCACGUCUAGCUUCGGAAUGAAUUGGCUUUUGGUUGAUGAUGUUAAAAUUCCUGUGCGACACUUCACGAGUGCUAACGCCCGACAGCCACAACACUCGACGAAUUGAUUCCUGCCGCAUAUCUUUCUAUUCAGUGAGAGUAUUCGAACGAGCAGCAGUAAAAACGUCAAUCUGAUCGGAUAGUUUUUUUGUUGUUGCGCCUUCGCGUACAAUCCCACCAGCGCCUGCCAACAUACAGGUGAAAGGGAUUUAUUAUCUGCUCUUUCUUUUUUCCACCCCAUCAACCCACCUAGUCAACCUCUCGCCAACCGUUUUCGACCGCCCGCGGAGUAUUCGACCGGCCCGUACUGGCCCAAAAGUUUCCAAACCUUCCAUCGGUAUGCAACCAUCCUGGCCAAAAAGACAGUUUCGAGAUCCCGGCGAAGUUUUCACCGAUUGGUCUAGUUUUGGAGGACGCACAAGGAAAGGAUCAGUGGAAUUUCGUUGUGAUAGAUCGAGUAUUCGAAGGGGCGAUGAUUCAUAGCUCGCUCCAAUGUAAUACUUCCUCAUGGAGGAGAUCUACCGUUCUACGGAAGGAUGACACAGAGGUCUGCCUCGUCUAAUGAAUAUCUAGAACUUCAACUAAGUGAGUCCUACUCAUAAAGACCUGAAGUCGAAGAGCUGUGGUCCACUAACUGCUCUACAUAUCUGUCUCAGUUUGCUCGGUAAGCUUGUCUUCAAGACUCCACUUCAAGACUUUAGAGAUUACUACAAUAAAGCAAGUACAUGGUAGGGUACGAACCCUGAUCUUCUGCCAGAUUUUUUUUUGUUCGUUUCUCCCCGAUAAUAAAAACCUAUAGUUCAUGA